AACGACCGGCUGGGCAUGACUGUGCCCGGCCCACAAGUGGAGGCUUCGAACUCCCACCCGACCACCCCCCGGGGCGGCGGGUCACCGGUCAGACGGCCGUCCCUCGUGGGGGCGCCGCCGUCCGAUGAGUACGCCCCGCGAUCCUCGCGGCGGUGUUCCGGUAGUUCGAGGAACCCCGCAUGUGAUCGUUCGGGGCAUUUUUU
rnacentral:ncRNA from 1 species